CGGAACAUGGCAUUGACUUGCUUGCGGUUUGAUUGGGUCCCAAUUCUUUCCACUGAUUUGUUCCACUGUGAAGAAAAAAUGCUGGUUUCUGAGGCAUUGGAAGAGCAACAGAGUAACUAUCCAGCAUAAGAACUAUUGUUCCCAUUGUAGGCCUCUUAGCUGGAUUUUCUUGAACACAUAAUAAACCAAGUUGUAAGCAUCUGAUCACUUCAUUUUUCGAAUAUGAACCCAUUAAAGCCUCAUCCAUAAAUUGCAAGGCUGUUCCUUUGCUCCAGUGUUUCCAUGCAUAGCUCAAGAGAUCCUCAGCAUCGUCUGAUUGAUCAAAAGAACUAAUCUUCUUGCCACUUAUAAUCUCCAGAACAAUAACACCGAAACUAUAGAUAUCAGACUUCAAAGAAUAUUGACCGUGCAUAGCGUACUCAGGAGAUAAAUAACCAUAUGUUCCGACAAUCCUGUUUGUAUUGUCCUGAGUUUGAUCUACUCCUAAAAUCUUC
rnacentral:misc_RNA from 1 species